rnacentral:rRNA from 1 species
UACGUAGGCAGCGAGCGUUGUUCGGAGUUACUGGGCGUAAAGCGCGUGUAGGCGGCCAGAUAAGUCCGCUGUGAAAUCUCGAGGCUCAACUUCGAGCUGUCGGUGGAAACUGUCUGGCUAGAGUCCGGAAGAGGAGAAUGGAAUUCCUGGUGUAGCGGUGAAAUGCGCAGAUAUCAGGAAGAACACCCGUGGCGAAGGCGGUUCUCUGGGACGGUACUGACGCUGAGACGCGAAAGCGUGGGGAGCGAACAGG